UACACAUGCAAGUCGAACGGAACUUCGGGUUUAGUGGCGGACGGGUGAGUAACGCGUGAGAAUCUGCCUCUAGGUCGGGGACAACAACUGGAAACGGUUGCUAAUACCCGAUGUGCAGCAAUGUGAAAGAUUUAUUGCCUAGAGAUGAGCUCGCGUCUGAUUAGCUAGUAGGUGUGGUAAUGGCGCACCUAGGCGACGAUCAGUAACUGGUCUGAGAGGAUGACCAGUCACACUGGGACUGAGACACGGNCCAGACUCCUACGGGAGGCAGCAGUGGGGAAUUUUCCGCAAUGGGCGAAAGCCUGACGGAGCAAUACCGCGUGAGGGACGAAGGCUUUUGGGUCGUAAACCUCUUUUUCCUGAGAAGAAGAUCUGACGGUAUCAGGCGAAUCAGCAUCGGCUAACCUCGUGCCAGCAGCCGCGGUAAUACGAGGGAUGCAAGCGUUAUCCGGAAUUAUUGGGCGUAAAGCGUCCGCAGGUGGCUCUGUAAGUCUGUCGUUAAAGAAUGGGGCUCA
rnacentral:rRNA from 1 species